UCACCACACCACUGGUGCAACGCCGGACGCCACGAACUUCACAGUUGGCACAGAUUCCGAUGAAAUGGAAGUGGCAUACGUAACUUGGAGCGACUACAAAGACUGCGCCAUCACUGAAGUUCCACACUACGGAGACCAGUGCACCCUAUGGGUGUCGAAAGCAGUGGAGGACCUUGUGCCUGAAUACUGUCUCGAGCAGUUUCACGACGUAUGCGGUGUCAUGGUGCCUCUUCACGACAGCGAUCUCUGCGAGGAUGACCAGUUUGAAGAGGAGAACGACAACUAGGCACCCAAAAAACACUUGAAAAACCGCAGUUGAUAUCCGCAUGAUGGUCACGGUAGCACAAUGAACGCGGCCAAGUUCUUUACCAAAUAAAGUUUUGCUUGGAAAUAUUGAUGAUAUCUUA
rnacentral:lncRNA from 1 species